GGGGAAUCUUCCGCAAUGGGGGAAACCCUGACGCAGCGACGCCGCGUGGAGGAUGACGGCCUUCGGGUUGUAAACUCCUGUCAGAAGUGAAGAAUGCCCGCAAGGGUUUGACGGUAACUUCAGAGGAAGCCCCGGCUAACUACGUGCCAGCAGCCGCGGUAAUACGUAGGGGGCGAGCGUUGCUCGGAAUUACUGGGCGUAAAGGGUGUGUAGGUGGCUGGAUAAGUCAAAGAUGAAAUCCCGAGGCUCAACUUCGGAAUUGUCUUUGAUACUGUUCAGCUUGAGGAUAGUUGAGGAGAGCGGAAUUCCCGGUGGAGCGGUGAAAUGCGUAGAUAUCGGGAGGAACACCUGAGGCGUAGGCGGUUCUCUAUACUAUUCCUGACACUGAGACACGAAAGCUAGGGGAGCAAAAGGGAUUAGAUACCCCAGUAGUC
rnacentral:rRNA from 1 species